rnacentral:lncRNA from 1 species
CUAGUCCUUGACGACUGUGCUAGGCAGGUGCAUGGAUGGUUGGAAGCCUCUCGCGGAUGCACCUCCUUUUAUAGUUGGAUCGUUUCACCCACGUAUCUCGUGGCUUUAUUCGUUUAUAUCUGCAGGUUGCCAAGGGUCGGUGCUCUGAAUCGUAUCUGAUUUCUUGGUGGAGUCCGACCUAGCUGAAUUUCAGGCUCCAGUAUCGUAUCGAUCUUAAGUCACUACACGCAGUGCAAGGCUAUGGUAAGUGCAAGUGUACAUUACAUUGUUCAUCUGUAACUCUUUUCUUGGUGAUCUGAAUCGUAUCG